CCAGGAUGGACAGUGGCCUGGCCCUGGGGCAGGUGUGGCCCCUCAGUGAACUGACCCUUCUCUGCUUCUUUGGGGUCUCUACUGGGCCUGAGUCUGGGGUUCCCUGAUUUUUCUAGUUUGGGUAAAAGCCAAAUUUUGUGAGCAUAUUAAAGAGUGGAUGCUGUGAGUGCAACGCACUCUUCAUCGCCACCUUGUGGUUGAGGCGGUGACAGGACAUCAGGAAGAUCGCCCAGAAACUGCAGAGUGAGAGCCACUCAGCGAAGCACAGCCGGUUUCAGGGAGGGGAAGGAUGGACACGAG
rnacentral:lncRNA from 1 species